rnacentral:rRNA from 1 species
GUGUCAGCCGCCGCGGUAACACGUAGGGGGCAAGCGUUGUCCGGAUUUAUUGGGCGUAAAGAGCUCGUAGGUGGCUCGGUAAGUCGGGUGUGAAAUUUCGAGGCUCAACCUCGAGACGCCACCUGAUACUGCUGUGGCUAGAGUCCGGUAGGGGAGCGUGGAAUUCCUGGUGUAGCGGUGAAAUGCGCAGAUAUCAGGAGGAACACCAGCGGCGAAGGCGGCGCUCUGGGCCGGUACUGACACUGAGGAGCGAAAGCGUGGGGAUCAAACAGGAUUAGAAACCCCUGUAGUCC